GCAAAAACAAGUCUUCAAUGCUCUCUCUCCUAUCUCACUAGGGAAUUGUCAUUAUCUAUUGUUCAACCACUUUUUCAACACUACACCGAUUCUUCUCCACUUGUCUCCAACCAUAGCCAAAAAAAUCUCUCUCUCUCUCUCUUUGUGGUUUCUUCCUUCUUCUAUUCCCAUAAAAACACUUUUUAAUUUCAGUCCUGUUAAUUUUGCGAGAGUGAAAAGCUUGAAGAGCCUAAGCAAGUUGUGCAAAGAAAGCGUCAAUGAUCAAGGGAUGAACAUUAUAAACAGUUUGUUGACAGAAGAUAGAGAGCACAGUUGAACAUACCCAAAAGGUCUUUGUGUGUGAGCAGUUUUGUGCUCUCUGUUCUUCUGCCAACAUACCCAGUUUUUCAUCAACUAUAGCUUGUUAGUCUCUCAAGUCUUAACUCAACAUGGGAAUUGAAUACUCUUUAAUUCGUAAUAAACAUGCAAAUUUCUCAGGGAGAAAACUCUGUCACAUUCUCGGUAAGGCGAUUCCAUUUGUGAGGUGUUCUUUUCUCUCCUAAUUCAAGGUACAAACCCUAACUCUUUUCUUUCUUUUUCAUUUUUGCAUUUUUCAAUAUUUUAUAGAAUAAGAUGUUUAUGGAUCCCUCUGCACUUUGAAUUCGAGGUGGGAGCCAUGGAAGACACCAAUCCAUAGAGACAUUGCCCUAACAUCUGAUGGAAAUACUGCCACCGGAAAGUCAUCUGCUCGAAAGUUGCUUCCUUCUAAUGAGCAGCAUGGAACUUCAUCCAAGGAUGGGAUAUCCAGUUCCGAUUUAUCAAAGCAGUUUGGCAAAGUAUUAUUUCUGAAAACCUUUCAUAGUUUCAACAUAUAAAUGUUAGAUCUUGUGCUUGUAAGAUGGCAUUAUUGAUGUGGAUAGAUUAAUUUCUUGUUUUAUCUAGUCAUUUGUGCUAUAAUGAGGAAUGUUGAUUGUAUUGUUAUGUAUUUCUCUUCUCUGCUAUUAAAUUAUGCUAGGAGUCCUGAUUGUACUGCUCUUUGUUUCCUUUCUCUCCACUAGAUUAAUGAGAUGACUAAAGAAUUGGAUCUACUUUUGAGAUCAAUUAAAGAGUCUGGUGGUUUUAUAGAUGCUUGCACAAGGUCACUACAAAUUUCAAUUGAAGUAGGCAUAUUAUGUUGUGUCAGAUGUUCAUUUGAAAAUCAUCUAUAUACAUGUGCCCUUGCAUUGAAGUUCUAAAAUUGCUGUGUAUCCUCGCAUUGAAGGUAGACAGAUUACUAUUAAAGUAUCUUACCUACUGGUAUGAAUUAGUUUGAUUAAAGUAUCUUACAGUAACACUCAGAAUAUCUGUUUAAGCUUUGCAAACUUCAUGGUCAUAAUUAUCUGCUAACUUUGCAGUGUAAUGCUGUAAACAGUACUUAGAACUUGGCAAAGCAAAGCCUAUUUUAGAGACCAUGACUUCAGCUCAAAUCUGGUUUUUCCUUUUGUCAGCCUAGAUGGGCCAUGGCUUGACUGAUGCUCUGUGUAUGCCAUACAUUGAGCUCAGGAGCUGUUUCAAGGUUUUUCCCUCCCCUCUCUUUGUCUCGAAGGCUCACAACUUUUAUUUGCUUAUUUUCUUGAGUUCGAGUAAUACAAAAGGGACAUUUGUAGGUUGGAUUUGCAGAAGUGGCCAUGCUUUCACCAGCAUGGUGGCACAUCCCAAUCAAAUCUGAUAUGAUGAUUCUUAAAAAAAAUAAAAAAUCAUAAAAAAUCUAUGUUCAUAUCCUUUAAUGAUUGUAUUUGUACUGCUACUGUAUAAUCUUAUCCAAAGAAGAUUCAUUCAAUGCGGGUCCUCCUUAGACAAUCCCGUAUUCAAAAAUCAAAUCAUUAUAUUAAAGCUUAACAAAAGGGACCCUUCUUAUAUAUUAACCUUGAAAUAACAUUGGUCACCUAUCAUUCUAAUGCAACUCUUCGUUUAUCAUGGUUUUGCAGUC